rnacentral:rRNA from 1 species
CCCAAGAAGCUGUAAGAGGGACAAGCUCAAAUUUUAAAUCCAUCGGGUUUUACCUGAUCGAGUUGUAAUUUGAAGAAGCGUUUUCUGCGUAUUUGAUCAGCCCAAGUCCUAUUGAAUGAGGCAUCAUGGAGGGUGAUAAUCCCGUCCGGUUGAUCAUUUGCGUUUUACGAUACGCUUUCUAAGAGUCAAGUUGUUUGGGAUUGCAGCUUAAAAUGGGAGGUAAAUUUCUCCUAAGGCUAAAUAACGGCGAGAGACCGAUAGCGAACAAGUACCGUGAGGGAAAGAUGAAAAGAACUUUGAAAAGAGAGUUAAACAGUACGUGAAAUUGUUGAAAGGGAAACGAUUGAAGCCAGUCGUACCUUCGGGUAAUCAGCCUUUCGGGUGCGAUUCUGUGGAGUGUGAGGAGCUUAAACACCUUCAUGUUUUGCAUAUUCGUACUCUUGGGUGUACUUGCCCGUGUGGUUGGUUAACAUCAAUUUUGGUGGUCAUAAAAUGACUGGAGGAAUGUAGCUUCGAUCUUGUAUUGAAGUGUUAUAGCCUUCGGUAGAUGUGAUGAUCGAGAUUGAGGAUUGCAACGGAUACCCUUCGGGGCUACCUGUCUGAUCUCUGAUCGUUGCUCUGGUGCCGAAAGCUUGCUUACGGUUAUCAAAGUCGAUGGUCAAUAGGUUAGAACGGGUUAAAUUCGUUAAGGAUGUUGACGUAAUGCUUUUUAAACGACCA